AGUGAACGCUGGCGGUAGGCCUAACACAUGCAAGUCGAACGGCAGCCCAGGAGAGCUUGCUCUCUGGGUGGCGAGUGGCGGACGGGUGAGGAAUACAUCGGAAUCUACUCUGUCGUGGGGGAUAACGGAGGGAAACUUACGCUAAUACCGCAUACGACCUACGGGUGAACGCAGGGGACCUUCGGCCCUUGCGCGAUGGAAUGAGCCGAUGUCGGAUUAGCUAGUUGGCGGGGUAAAGGCCCACCAAGGCGACGAUCCGUAGCUGGUCUGAGAGGAUGAUCAGCCACACUGGAACUGAGACACGGUCCAGACUCCUACGGGAGGCAGCAGUGGGGAAUAUUGGACAAUGGGCGCAAGCCUGAUCCAGCCAUACCGCGUGGGUGAAGAAGGCCUUCGGGUUGUAAAGCCCUUUUGUUGGGAAAGAAAUCCAGCUGGCUAAUACCCGGUUGGGAUGACGGUACCCAAAGAAUAAGCACCGGCUAACUUCGUGCCAGCCGCCGCGGUAA
rnacentral:rRNA from 1 species